rnacentral:rRNA from 1 species
AUUGAACGCUGGCGGCAUGCUUUACACAUGCAAGUCGAACGGCAGCGCGGGCUUCGGCCUGGCGGCGCGUGGCGAACGGGUGAGUAAUGCAUCGGAACGUGCCCAGUAGUGGGGGAUAGCCCGGCGAAAGCCGGCUUAAUACCGCAUACGACCUGAGGGUGAAAGCGGGGGACCGAUAGGCCUCGCGCUAUUGGAGCGGCCGAUGUCGGAUUAGCUAGUUGGUGGGGUAAAGGCUUACCAAGGCGACGAUCCGUAGCUGGUCUGAGAGGACGACCAGCCACACUGGGACUGAGACACGGCCCAGACUCCUACGGGAGGCAGCAGUGGGGAAUUUUGGACAAUGGGGGCAACCCUGAUCCAGCCAUGCCGCGUGCGGGAAGAAGGCCUUCGGGUUGUAAACCGCUUUUGUUCGGGAAGAAAUCCUCUGGGCUAAUACCCCGGGGGGAUGACGGUACCGGAAGAAUAAGCACCGGCUAACUACGUG